CAGUCGCCGCGGGAACACGUAGGUGGCAAGCGUUGUCCGGAAUUAUUGGGCGUAAAGGGUGCGUAGGCGGGUCUUUAAGUCAGGGGUGAGAUCCUGGAGCUCAACUCCAGAACUGCCUUUGAUACUGAAGAUCUUGAGUUCGGGAGAGGUGAGUGGAACUGCGAGUGUAGAGGUGAGAUUCGUAGAUAUUCGCAAGAACACCAGUGGCGAAGGCGGCUCACUGGCCCGAUACUGACGCUGAGGCACGAAAGCGUGGGGAGCAAACAGGAUUAGAUACCCGUGUAGUCCCUGUCUCUUAUAC
rnacentral:rRNA from 1 species